GAUUCCCUAGUAACUGCGAGUGAAGCGGGAAGAGCUCAAAUUUAAAAUCUGGCGGUCUUUGGCCGUCCGAGUUGUAGUCUGGAGAAGCGUCUUCUACGCCGGACCGUGUACAAGUCCCUUGGAACAGGGCGUCAUAGAGGGUGAGAAUCCCGUCCAUGACACGGACCGCCGGCGGUUUGUGAUGCGCUCUCAAAGAGUCGAGUUGUUUGGGAAUGCAGCUCAAAACGGGUGGUAAAUUCCAUCUAAAGCUAAAUACUGGCGAGAGACCGAUAGCGAACAAGUACCGUGAGGGAAAGAUGAAAAGCACUUUGGAAAGAGAGUUAAACAGUACGUGAAAUUGCUGAAAGGGAAACGCUUGAAGUCAGUCGCGUCGGCCGGGGCUCAGCCUUGCAUUCGUUUGCUCGGUUUACUUCCCGGUCGACGGGCCAGCGUCGAUUUCGACCGUCGGAGAACGGUCAGGGGAAAGUGGCACCUUCGGGUGUGUUAUAGCCUUUGGUCGCAUACGACGGUUGGGAUCGAGGGACGCAGCACGCCUUUAUUGGCCGGGGCAUUCGUGCCCACGUAUCGUGCUUA
rnacentral:rRNA from 1 species